CGAAGGGAAAGGGCUUGCUCCAUAAAUAAUCCAUUUUAGGCGCAAGAGGGCAUAUCCGGGUCUCCAAGUGAGUCAGCGCGCGGAUCUACCCCCCUUGGAACGAUGCCGUUUUUGGAUAUGCUAUUAAACCCUCUUUUUUUCAAUUGUUUUCUACUUAAAACGCAGCAAAUCAUUCAAAUUAAAAUAAAUUAUGCUAUCAGCCCAUUCCCUUAGGGUUUCAUCUCGCAUGCUGCCGCCGACAAUAGGAGUAUUUGAGUCAUGAAAUCAAUUUGCAGCCCCAAGAUCCCUCCUCUGACUUCGAUUUCAACGAAGCAAAGAAGAAUCCAUGGCGAAUUUGCAAAGCUCGGUUGUACGGAGAAGCGAGAAGACGUGCGAAGGAGGCCGUGCGAAGAGCCACUCGUGGGAGCCCUAACUCUCUGGCCUAUUCUGGCACGUUCCUGAAGCUUCUAGUGCUGCUUAGAUAAUUUUAGGUGUAUUGGGCCUCGGGUUUUAGGGCUUAUUGGGUCAUGGUUUAUUUUAGUAAUUGGGCUAGGUUAUUGGACUUUUAUUGUAUUGUUUUUUUUUCAUUUUAGCUUUGGGUUUUGUAAUUGGACUUUGGCCCUAUAAACAAUUUAUUUUUGUUUGGUUUUAUAAA